AACCCUCAGAGAAUAAGUUACAACUCCGUCACUCUCUCUCUCCGCCUCUCGACUUCGACUCGACCACACCUCGGCGACCUCGCUCAGACAACCUCACCACCCUCCUCGACCUCACCUCUGACAACCUCCUCACCUCAGAAUCCGGCCACACCCACAUCACACAGACCCUCUGAUCUCUCUCUCGACUUCGUACCUCUCUCUCUCCGUCACUCUCUCUCUCUGUCGCUCUCUCUCUGUCAUGCUCCAUAAACAACCCAAUUCCACGCCAUAAGUCCCACACAAACGAGACUGCCUUUGUGUCCAUGAAUCGUUGAAGGGAUUUUGCUUAUCUGAGGCCUCUUUUGGUGACAACGAGUCGAUGAUACUUUGUGAUUGAACAUGUUCGAAAGUGUUUAGUUUCGGAAUAUUUUGGAGCUUUGAAAUCUAGUAUUCAAGAUAAUGACUACUUUUUGUUUUUAGAAGCUUUGCUUUUUAAUCAUAUGGAUUAUAAUUAAA